CKGCUCAGUAACACGUGGACAACCUACCCUAUGGAGGGGGAUAACCCCGGGAAACUGGGGAUAAUACCCCAUAGACUAUAGAUGCUGGAAUGCUUUGUAGUUGAAAGGUCCGCCGCCAUAGGAUGGGUCUGCGGCCGAUUAGGUUGUUGUUGGGGUAACGGCCCAACAAGCCUGUAAUCGGUACGGGUUGUGGGAGCAAGAGCCCGGAGAUGGAUCCUGAGACACGAAUCCAGGCCCUACGGGGCGCAGCAGGCGCGAAAACUCUACAAUGCAGGCAACUGCGAUAGGGGAACAUCGAGUGAUCCUCAUAUUGGGGGUCUGUCCUUCCGUCUAAAAAACGGGAGUUAGCAAGGGCCGGGCAAGACCGGUGCCAGCCGCCGCGGUAAUACCGGCGGCUCGAGUGGUGGCCGAUAUUAUUGAGUCUAAAGGGUCCGUAGCCGGCUUUGCAAGUCUCUCGGGAAAUCCAGCGGCUUAACCGUUGGUCGUCCGGGGGGUACUACAUUGCUUGGGACUGGGAGAGGUAGGAGGUACUCAGGGGGUAGGAGUGAAAUCCUGUAAUCCUUUGGGGACCACCGGUGGCGAAGGCGUCCUACCAGAACAGGUCCGACGGUGAGGGACGAAAGCUAGGGGCACGAACCGGAUUAGAUACCCGGGUAGUCCUAGCCGUAAACGAUGCUCGCUAGGUGUCACAACAGUCGUGAAUUGUUGUGGUGCCGUAGGGAAGCCGUGAGGCGAGCCACUUGGGAAGUACGACCGCAAGGUUGAAACUUAAAGGAAUUGGCGGGGGAGCAC
rnacentral:rRNA from 1 species